rnacentral:rRNA from 1 species
GACGUAGGGCGCAAGCGUUGUCCGGAUUUAUUGGGCGUAAAGAGCUCGUAGGCGGUUUGUCGCGUCUGCUGUGAAAACCCGAGGCUCAACCUCGGGCCUGCAGUGGGUACGGGCAGACUAGAGUGCAGUAGGGGGAGACUGGAAAUUCCUGGUGUAGCGGUGAAAUGCGCAGAUAUCAGGGAGGAACACCGAUGGCGAAGGCAGGUCUCUGGGCUGUAACUGACGCUGGAGGAGCGAAAGCAUGGGGAGCGAA